rnacentral:rRNA from 1 species
UACGGGGGGAGCAAGCGUUGUUCGGAUUUACUGGGCGUAAAGGGCGCGUAGGCGGCGUGACAAGUCACUUGUGAAAUCUCCGGGCUUAACUCGGAACGGUCAAGUGAUACUGUCGUGCUAGAGUACAGAAGGGGCAACUGGAAUUCUCGGUGUAGCGAUGAAAUGCGUAGAUAUCGAGAGGAACACCUGCGGCGAAGGCGGGUUGCUGGGCUGAUACUGACGCUGAGGCGCGAAAGCCAGGGGAGCGAACGGG